UCACUGGGCGGGGCUUGUGACAUCACUAGCUGGUAGGAGGUCUAGCAAGUAUCAGGUUACCCUUGGUGGGAGAAGAAGCAUGAUGGGAAGAAGUUUGUCCUUUGCUGGGGGAAGACAUAUUUUAACAUGGAGGCUGCUAUUCCAUGUGGCAGACAUUUUAAAACAAGGGAAAUAUAACUACCCCAGUGGAGGCCAGAAACUGCAGAUACUGCCGGAUUCUACUUAUAUCUACUCCCGGAUGUAUACAACCAUCCCUUACUUCGAGCUUUAACCCAGAAAGUUAGAACUAGAAGAUGGUGGAAGAGAGAUCCGCAAACACAGCUUGCCGACUUCAUCUCAGAAGCUGCCGUGCCAGCCCCCGAGCCUGGUGUUUACAUAGUGACAGAAAGAAGUGAAUGAUUCAGAAGAGCUAAAUUGCACUAAAAUGAGCAUGACUGGCCGUCUGCUUUUGAUUUGUUUGCUUAUUUUAUUGAGGGAAAUAUAUGUAGCAUGAAACUCACCGUGUUUAAACAUAUAGGAAGUUCAGUGACACUAAUACUCUCGCGCUUAGUGUAAUGGCUGCCACCGCUGAUGUGGGGUUAGGGCCACCGCAGGUUGGGUAGGACAGAAGGAGAAUGGUGCCAUUGACACCACCUUCGGAACAUUUUCAUCUUCCUCAACUAAAAUUUUGUGGUCCUGAAACCCCAACUCCCAUGACCCUAGUUUUCGGCAACCACAUUUCUGCUUUCUGAUUUCAGUACUUUGGUUACUGCAGUGUGAAAUCAAAUGAUACGUGACUGACACUUCACGUAGCUGAAUGUUUCUAAGCUUCAUCCA
rnacentral:lncRNA from 1 species